AACGUAGGAGACAAACGUUAUCCGGAGUUACUGGGCGUAAAGGGCGUGUAGGUGGUUUCGUAAGUCUGGCGUGAAAUUUUUCGGCUUAACCGGGAAAGGUCGUCGGAUACUGCGGAGCUAGAGGACGGUAGAGGCGUGUGGAAUUCCGGGUGUAGUGGUGAAAUGCGUAGAUAUUGGGAAGAACACCCGAGGCGAAGGCGGGUUGCUGGGCUGAUACUGACGCUGAGGCGCGAAAGCCAGGGGAGCAAACGGG
rnacentral:rRNA from 1 species